rnacentral:rRNA from 1 species
AACCUAUUAUUAAAAAUGUAAAUUUUUUUACUUAAUUAGUAUUAGUUAUGUUCUUGAAAAUUAAAAAAUUUGGCGGUAUUUUAGUCUUUUCAGAGGAACCUGUUCUAUAAUCGAUAGUCCACGAUUAGAUGCACUUUAUUUAUUAGUUUAUAUAUCGUCGUAGUUUAAAUAUUUUAAUAGAAUUAUAAAUAUUUAAAAUUUUUUAUUAAAAAAUAAAUCAGAUCAAGGUGUAGUUUAUAAUAAAGAAGAAAUGGGUUACAAUAAAUUUAUUUUAAAAUAAUUUUUGUUAAAAAAAUUUGAAUUUGGAUUUGAGAGUAAUUUUUUAGAUUUUUUUAAGAUGAUUAAAGCUCUAAAAUAUGUACAUAUCGCCCGUCGCUUUCAUUUUAAAAUGAAAUAAGUCGAAAACAUAGU